rnacentral:rRNA from 1 species
GGCCCAGGGCUACACACGUGCUACAAUGGGCGGUACAAAGAGAAGCAACCUCGCGAGGGUGAGCAAAUCUCAAAAAGCCGUUCUCAGUUCGGAUUGAAGUCUGCAACUCGACUUCAUGAAGUCGGAAUCGCUAGUAAUCGCGGAUCAGCAUGCCGCGGUGAAUACGUUCCCGGGCCUU